rnacentral:rRNA from 1 species
CCUACGGGUGGCAGCAGUGAGGAAUAUUGGUCAAUGGGCGCGAGCCUGAACCAGCCAAGUCGCGUGAGGGAAGACGGUCCUAUGGAUUGUAAACCUCUUUUGUCGGGGAGCAAAAGACGCCACGCGUGGCGUUCCGAGAGUACCCGAAGAAAAAGCAUCGGCUAACUCCGUGCCAGCAGCCGCGGUAAUACGGAGGAUGCGAGCGUUAUCCGGAUUUAUUGGGGUUAAGGGGUGCGCAGGCGGAAGAUCAAGUCAGCGGUAAAAUUGAGGGGCUCAACCUCUUCGAGCCGUUGAAACUGGUGUUCUUGAGUGAAUGAGAAGUAGGCGGAAUGCGUGGUGUAGCGGUGAAAUGCAUAGAUAUCACGCAGAACUCCGAUUGCGAAGGCAGCAUACCGGGGCUCAACUGACGCUCAUGCACGAAAGUGUGGGUAUCGAACAGGAUUAGAUACCCGAGUAGUC